ACGGCGAGUUCUGGUACAAAAUCAUCUCUUUUUAUUCAGAUAAAGUUUUGGAAUAUUGCAUUAUGUGCUUAAGGACCAAGUCAGCGCUUCUCCUCGUGCUUGUCAUCGGACUCCUCGCUCUCACCGAUACUUCGUCAGCAGCCGAUCCAAUAGGAGCGCCAAGCAGAUGGUCAUGGGACCAAAAGCAAAUCGCUAAAGAUUUGAUGCAAGAACAAAUGGAUGCAAAUCUUGCUGAUUUCUUCGAUGAAUAAUUCAAGUGCAAAAUAUUGCUAUACGAAUAAACAUCAUAAAUAAACAUGUUAUGAUUA